GUCUGAAAAGCGCAAAAGAAGAAGAAAAGCCAUGAAGAUAGAGAAGAUAACAGAUCCUGUCCAAAUUCGCCAUUUUUAUACGCAUAAUAUUGAAUUAAAAGUAGAGAGGACUUUUAUAAUACUUAGUAAUUUUGGUAAAUUCAAGAUGGUGACGUCCUAGUCCGAGUUAGACAACACAACAACAGGACAACAACCGAUGGAAAUGAAAUGUGGGUCACAAAAGGAGCCUAAAGAGACGAAGGCUGCUAGCGUGUUACCAUCUGGUGUCUAAGCAAAUUAAGAUGAAAGAGGAAGCCAGUGAACAAGAAUUAGAAAACCUAAAGACUUUCCUGUCUCAGAAGAGGCUCUGGCUCCACCAGAUCACCAACCAGUUCUGAGGAUGAACCUCCACAUCGUCUUCAUGGUGGAAGGCUCUUUGUUUUUUUACACUGAGCAGCUGGCCACAUUUUUAACAGCAAAAACUGGGCCCUGUGAUGGACUGGUGACCUGUCCAGGGUGAACCCCGCCUCUCAUCUGAUGACUGCUAGAGAUGGGCACCACCAGCCCCCCUCACCACCAUGCAAGGAUCAGAGUGUUCAGAUCAUGGAUGGAAAGAUUUUAAGGCAAAGAAGUCACCCAGAAAUGUUUUUCCACACCAGGCAUCCGGUCCCAAUCAUUGCCAGUUCUGAUGAUGCCACAUACAUAGUGAGUCCACAACGUCUAAAAAUUGUUUCUGUAAAGUGCAGUGGUCCAGUGAAUGGGAAUGUUCUGCUGAUCCUCACUGUUCUUAGGAAGGA